GGCAGGAGAAUCACUUGAACCCGGGAAGUGGAGGUUGUACAGAGCUGAGAUUGUACUGCUGCAUCCCAGCCUCGGCAACAGAGUGAGACUCUGCCUCAAAAAAAAAAAAAAAAAAAAAGAAAAGAAAAA